rnacentral:rRNA from 1 species
GUCUAUGGCCAUACCACCCGCCAAACGUGCCCAAUCUCGUCUAAUCUUGGAAGCUAAGCAGGGUGGGGCCUCUUUAGUACUUGGAUGGGAGACAGCCUGGGAAUACUGGAUGCUGUAGGCU